UCUGAGGAUCCCCGAGAGGACCGGUUUGUUCAGGGCCCCCUGAGGUUCGUGGUCGGGAGCGACUUUCAAGGGCUGGGGGGUGCUGGGCAGGCCUGAGAGGAUCUGACGGUUGGAGAGAUGACUUUUGGGGACCUGAAGGUUGGCGGGGGGGGGGCAGGAGGGUCCGACCAUCCAGGUGGCCCAGACCAUCCAGUUAGGGUUGGGAUGGGCGGCCCCACAGAUAUGGGGGUGCCUGGAGAGGGGUGCUGGGGGGCCCCGAGAGCGGCUCACCCUGGCAGCCCGCGACGAGUAGGGGUCCUCGAAGAGCGCCCACACACGGGGCUGCCAGCGGCGCCACCACGUGCCGCCCGCGCCGCCCGCGCCCCCUGGCGGGCCCCGGCGCCGCCGCCCGAGUCCUGGAAGCAGAGGCGCUUGAGCUCGCCGCCCGCGCCAUCCAGGCCGCCGCCGCCCGCGCCCGCCUCGUCGUCCAGGCCCGUGUCGUGCGCUCCCGCGGCAGCGGCAUUGGCGGCGCCCGCAGGGUCCGGGGCCUCGAAGGAGUCGAGCGCCUCCUCCGCGUCGCGGUGCUGCCGGUAGGUCAUCCAGCAGCAGGCCUCCACGUCGGUCUCGUCGAUGCCCCAGAAGCCCAGCUCCUCCUCGAAGAGCGGCCCGCACACGUCGGCCGGGCAGUGCAGCUUGCCCGUGCGGUAGUAGUUGAGCACGUAGGCGAAGACGCCCGGGUGCCGGUCGAAGAAGAACUCGUCUGCGCCGGGGUCGUAGUCGAAGCGCGCGGCCGCCUCGGGCUCCGUCAGGCCGGCCAGCCGCGUACCCGGCAGGGUGCGCAGCGUCGAGCGGUACGUCUCAUGGCGCACGCCGCCCACGUUGAUCACGAUCUUGCCGCUGUCGCCACCGCCGCCGCCGUGCCGCCCCAUGGCCGCCGCUGGCAGCCCGGGGCAUGGCUCGGCGCGGGGGUCCCCGGGCCCUCGGGGUGCCUGGGGGCCCGCCGGGGAUGCGGCUGGGCCGGGCUGCGCAGGCUGCAGCGGCGGCGGCGGUGGCGGGGACAGCGGCGGCGGGGACUCGGGCUGCUGCGGUGGUGGCGCCGGCUGCUGCUUGCUGGCCCCCUGGCGCCGGGGGAAGGACGAGACGCAGACUGAGCUCAGCAUUGGACAGGGGGCGGGCCGGAGGGGGCAGGGCAGAGAGGGGCGGGGCUCGGGAGGAGAGAUGGACGUGAUUGGGUGGGAGGAGGCGAUGACUAGGAGGGCCGGGCCUGGAGGGUGCAGAGACUGACGCGAUUGGGUGGGAAAAGGCGAUAGAAUGGGGGGGUGGGGCCUCCGUGGGAGAGGAUCAGAGAUGAUUGGCCUGAGGGGUGAGUGGGUGUGGCUGAGGUCUGGAAGGGGGGGCUGGGUCUCUAAUACAGCCUGAAAGGGGGGGCACGAGUGAGGCUCCCCAAUUGGAUGUUUCGGGUGAAGGGCGGGGCGUCAAAGGGUCGCUAACGCUAUCUGGGCGAAACAGGGGAGGGAGAAAGGAGAAAGCGGAGCGAGGCUACGUGGGGGAUCUGUGAGUCUCGAGUCUCCGCCUGUCCCUUGGAGGGGAUUUUGGGAGACAAGAUGGACCCUGAGUUACAGGACACCCAGCUAUGCUCACAGAGGAGGACACGGACUCCAUGCUUGGCAACAGACACCAGGAGAGGAAAAGCUAAUGCCUGUCCACUUCUUCUAAUCUUUCCCCAGCCCUGCUCCCCCAAUCUAUCUUUUCCCGGACACUCAAAGCACAGAAUUCCUGAAAGCUCCGAACUCCCAGCUCUGCCAUCUCUGGAACUCCUUUCCAAUCCUCCCUCCCUCCUUCCUCAGGGCCCGGCGAUUGGGGAUGGGUCUUCCCCUCCCUGAUUUCCAAGACCUCUAUUCUCAUCGGUUCCAAAUCCAGCAAAGGGAGUCUCACUAAAGCUGAAAAUGUGAGGACUCGCCGCCUAAGAUCUUUGAUUGCUAAGACCUCCAAAUACCUGGGUGCCCCAAAGCGUACAACCGAGCGGAGAUCUCUCCGCUGUCAUUUUUGGGUCCCAUCUCCCAGUCCCCGCCUCCAUAACUGGGAUUCGAGUUGUCUUACGCCCCCCGCGGACCUGAACCUCCGCCCCCGCCCCCGUACUCACCCCUAGUCGA
rnacentral:lncRNA from 1 species